UACCACUUGUUGCCUCGGCGGAUCAGCCCGCUCCCGGUAAAACGGGACGGCCCGCCAGAGGACCCCUAAAACUCUGUUUCUAUAUGUAACUUCUGAGUAAAACCAUAAAUAAAUCAAAACUUUCAACAACGGAUCUCUUGGUUCUGGCAUCGAUGAAGAACGCAGCAAAAUGCGAUAAGUAAUGUGAAUUGCAGAAUUCAGUGAAUCAUCGAAUCUUUGAACGCACAUUGCGCCCGCCAGUAUUCUGGCGGGCAUGCCUGUUCGAGCGUCAUUUCAACCCUCAAGCACAGCUUGGUGUUGGGACUCGCGUUAAUUCGCGUUCCUCAAAUUGAUUGGCGGUCACGUCGAGCUUCCAUAGCGUAGUAGUAAAACCCUCGUUACUGGUAAUCGUCGCGGCCACGCCGUUAAACCCCAACUUCUGAAUGUUGACCUCGGAUCAGGUAGGAAUACCCGCUGAACUUAAGCAUAUCAAAU
rnacentral:rRNA from 1 species